AUGAUGCUGGCCUCAUAAAAUGAGCAUUCACUGGGAUGCAGACGUCAUUGCGAACAUUCCCAACACUAGACUUACUCUAACAUCUCCUAUUGAAUUGGGAGACAUUUCUAAAUUUGAAGAGCUAAAAUUGUAUUCUAACAGAAGAAUAAUUCCAAUGCCUUUGAGCUAUGACAUAUGCCACCCAGGAAUAUUAAACAAAUGGAAUGCAAGCAGAUGAUUUCUCAGAUGGGUGGGAAGGAGGGAGAGAGAGAGACAGAGAAGAGAGAGAGAUUUGAGGAGAAAAGAAGUCCGGCAGCUGGUGACCAGGACUGAGAACUUGUCCCAGGCCACGAGCCUCCCCAUUGAGAAGGCAAGCAGACUCACAGUUUUUUGGCAUCUCAGGGAUGCUGCAGCAGUGACCUAGUUCUUUCAAAGGGUCUGUGGAUUCUCUUGACUUUCCUGAUAUGUUCCUGCAGUAGUUCUGGGAGCCAAAGUUCACAAUGUGAGUCUCCACAUGCUGCUCUGUCUGUCUAAGUGGAAGCUACAAACUAGUCUUGCUUCCUAUCUGCCAUUUUCACUCAAUCACGCCAAGAUGUCUUUAUAACAUAAAGAUGCAAGGAGAAACAGCAAGUGCUAAUGAAGAAGCUGCAGCAGGUUAUCCAGAAGAUUUAAUUAAGAUCAUUGAUGAAGGUGGCUACACUAAACAAGAUUUUCAAUGUAGACGAAAUAGCCUCCUGUUGGAAGAAGAUACCAUCUAAGAUUUUCAUAGCUAUAGUGGAGAAGUCAAUGUUUCAAAACUUCAAGGGAAAGGCUGACUCUCUUGUUAGGGGUUAAUGCUGCUGGUGACUUAAUGUUGAAGCCAGCGCUCACUUACCAUUCUGAAAAUUCUAGGGCCCUUAAGUAUUUGGGUAAAUCGACUCUGCCUGUGCUCUAUAAAUGGAACAGCAAAGCCUGGAUGACAGCACAUCUGAUUGUAGCACGAUUUAUUAAAUAUUUGAAACCCACUGUUGAGACCUACUGCUCAGAAAAAAAGAUUCCUUUAAAAUGUUACUGCUCGUUGACAAUUCAUCUGGUCACCCAAGAGCUCUGAUGGUGAUAUAAAAGCUGAUGAAUGCUGUUUUCAUGCCUGUUUAUGCCUGCUAACAUAACAUUCAUUCCACAGUCAUGGAUCAAAGACUAAUUUCAACUUUCAAGGUCUUAUUACUUAAGGAAUACAUUUCGUAAGGCUACUGCUGUCAUAGAUAGUGAUUUCUCUAAUGUAACUGGGCAAAGUAAAUUGAAAAUCUUCUGGAAAGGGAUUCAUCAUUCUAUUGCCAUUAAGAACAUUUGGGAUUCAUGGAAAGAGGUCAAAAUGUCAACAUUAACAGGAGUUUGGAAGAAGUCAAUUUCAAUACUCAUGGAUGGGUUCAAGUUUUCAGUGGAGAAAGAAACUGAAGUUGUGGUGGAAAUAGCAGGAGAACUAGAAAUAAAAGUGAACCCUGAAGAUGUGACUGAAUUGCUGCAAUAUCAUGGUCAAACUUGAAUAGAUGAUGAUGUGGUUUGGCUCUCUGUCCCUACCCAAAUCUUACCUUGAAUUGUUAUACUCCCCAGUGUCAUGGGAGGGACCCAGUGGGGGUAAUUGAAUCAUGGGGGUAGUUUUCCCCAUACUGUUCUUGUGAUAGUGAGUGAGUUCUCACGAGAUCUGAUGGUUUUAUAAGGGGCUCUUCCUUUCGCUGUGCCACUCUUCUCAUUUCUGGUGCCUUGUGAAGAAGGUGCUUUGCUUCCCCUUCACCUUCUGUCCUGGUUGUGGGUUUCCCAAGGCCUCUCCAGUCAUGCUGAACCGUAAGUCAACUAAACCUCUUUCCCUUAUAAAUUACCCAGUCUUGGGAGGUUCUUUAUAGCAGUAUGAAAAAUGGACUAAUACAGAUGAAGAGUUGCUUCUUAUGGAUGAGAAAAAAAGAGGUUUUUCCUGGUGAAGAUGUUGUGAACAUUGUUUAAAUGACAACCAAGAAUUUAGAAUAUUACAUAUACUUAGCUGACAAAUCACUAGCAGGGCUUAAGAGAAUUGACUCCAGUUUUGAAAGUUCUACUGUGGAUAAAAUGCUAUUGGAUAGCAUUGCAUGCCUCAGAGAAAUCUUUACUGAAAGGAUGAGUCAAUUGAUGUGUAAACUCAGUGUUUUAUUUUAAGAAAAUGCCACUGCUAUUUCAACUUCAGCAGUUACCACUCUGUUCAGUUAACAGCCAUCAACAUGGAGUCAAAACCCUCUAUCAGCAAAAAGAUUACAACUUGCUGAAGGCCCAGGUGUUUGUUAGUAAUUUUUAGCAAUAAAGUAUUUUUAAUUAAGGUAUGUUCAUGGUUUAUUAUUAGACAAAAUGCUAUUGCACACUUAAUAGACUAUAGUAUAGUGUAAAUAUAACUUUUUAUACACUGGGAAACAAAACAAUUCAAGUGACUCACUCUAUUGUAAUAUUCACUUUAUUGGGGUGGUCUGGGACUGAACCUGCAAUAUCUCUGAAGUAUGCCUUUGACAUUAAUAUUAAUCUUCUAUGGGCCAGGCACUUUGACCUCAUGAAGUUGGCCUUGUCUCCCAAUUCGUGCAUUUUCGGAGCAAUGUCACUUCCUUACUCUGAGAUCUCUCUGGUACUACUUUUUGUCAUUUCUCUCUGCUUCUUCUUAAACUCAGUUUUUUGAACCCGGAAUCAACAACAUCAAAAAUUCCUAGAUUUUACUGUAUUUUUUUGCUGUGGGAAAUUGUCUGACACUCAGUCAAAACACAGGUAUUUACUCAGGACCUGCUGGCUGCUGGUCAGCACUGGAUGAGAGGUUCUGCAGGAUUACACAUGAACAGCACAUCACAGUUCCUAACAUGAAUGAACAUAUAAGCUAUUUGGAAAGAAAAGAUGAUAGAGAACAACAGAAGAUGUUCUGUAAUGGAUGGAUAAAACGUAUCACUGGCUCCAGUACAGGUAGACCCCAGAGAUGAAGUUUGAGGCUAGAAGUGGCAAAAGACCAUUGUAGGCAAGAUCCAGGGUUGGGGUUUGGCAUUGUGUGCAUAGUGGGGGCAAAAAAGGCAGUCCUGUGUGGUUGACCCUGUGGCCAAGGCUGAGAGAGAUGAUUUGUAUGAUCAAGAGAGGCUGAUGGACUAUGUGAAGUGUAUAUCUUAUCUCAAUCACCCAACACUUUAUAUUGAAAGUGAGGAUAUCACACAAGUAAAUUUUGUUUGUGUUUAUAUAACUUGGCACUUAUGUUUUCAAUAUCAUGUUGUAAAAUAAAUGUCUUUAAAAUUAGACUAAUUACCGCCACCCUCCAGUCAUCAGCACAGCUUCUGCUGUGGAGAUGUGCAAGUUGGGAAAUAAACGAAACAUCAUUAUGUCCA